rnacentral:tRNA from 2 species
GUCCCUGUAGCUUAUGACAAAGCAUGGCACUGAAGAUGCCAAGAUGGCUGCUACAUUCAUCCCAUGGACA